UUGCUUACUGCAUAUCUUGCCCCUCACUCUCUCUCUCUCUCUCUCUCUCUCUCUCUCUCAUUGUGAAAAGCUUUUUCUUUCCUUCUUACGAGCACAUUUGCUACUUUCAAGCUCAGAAGUCAACAUCCAGAGUUUCACAUCACAGCUGCUACUUCUUCUUCUUUACCAAUCUCGAGAUCUUGGUCUCUGUCUUCCCCUUUUUUUUUUCCCACCAGACCCAUUUUUAAACUCAGCCUCCAGAUCAUUGUCAUUUACAGAAAAGGUUGGCAUACCAGAGUUUUUGAAUGGAAUAGGCAAAGGGGUCAAAUCCCAUGUGGCUAAGCUUGAGUCUGAGAUUGGUGACUUUCAGAAGCUGCUUGUCUCUCGAACUCUUAAGCUCAAGAAACUUGGCAUACCAUGCCAACAGAGGAAGCUGAUAUUGAAAUAUGCCCACAAGUAUAGGCUGGGACUCUGGAGGCCUCGAGUUCAGCCUGUGAAAUCUUAAUUAGUUUCUUAAUAGCUGAUCCUACUGAGGAUUAAGAUCAAGAUGGUUGUCUGCUAGAGAACGUGAUAGCUGGACAUCUCCACAUGAAACUGUUUUAUUUUCUCCAGAGUUUUAGCAUCUUAGUGUUCGUGAUCCUUUUGAGCAAUUUUAUGGACACAAUUUAGGAGCUUAAUUCGAAGUAUUUCUGCAUGAACUGGGGUUAAACAGCCUGGUAACUGCAGCAUCAAUCAUACAAGUUAUUCUACCAUAAGAGGAGGAGGCCUUGUUAUGGAUAUGGAUUCCACCUUCAUGUACUAAGCUCAUUUUAUUGCAGACAAUUAUUGAAUUAUUUUUGGCUUUCCCAUAUAUGUCCAAUAAACAGUUACUAGAUAUUUUAAUGAGGAUGAAUGGUGCAAAUUGUUUAGAAAAAUGGUAAUUUUGGCAUCAACCAUUAACUGCAAGCU